UUAAAUAUAUUAGUAUGGCUAGGUAAGUUGUAUGAUAAAUUAAACAGUAUCACUAUUAAACUUUUGAAAAGUGAAGUAGUAGUUAGGGAAGAAGAAUUCCCAUCUUGAAGUUUGUUUCAAGUGUACAUACAUAAACCAUAUGGAGUAUGGUGAGGAUAAAACCAAACCAUGUGAAAAUACAUUAAAGUUUCCAAGAACAUGGAGGGGCCACCAAGAUAGAUAGAAUCCAAGGUACAUGAACACUUUUUUUUUUUACUCGGUGUCUGAAAUCCAUAUUGAAGUCCCAACUAAAUUAGAAUCACGCUCUAGGAACAUGCCUCAUUUGAGAGUGACAUUCC
rnacentral:lncRNA from 1 species